AUUUAUCCCGGGGAAAUCCAGAAACGCGGUUUGAAAAAAAAAAUCAUGUCAAUUUGUAAUUAUUUCAUUGCUAAACACUGAAGUCAAUGUAUGGGAAUUCUCGAAGAGUGCAAUGAGGAGGAUAUGACUUGACUCUACCAUGGCAAGGGGUAAGAGGAAAGAUCAUAUACAUCCACUUAAGAUCACUGUUCAGUUAAGCUGGGGAACUAAACUGGAAGAGGAUGGAUGCUGUAACGGGGUAUGAAGUUGACGAACAUGGGAUCACUCCUGUGAAUCACAGUCAUUGUCUUGAGGGACAUACCAGCUCAGGAAAAGUGGUUUCCAGUGGGAGAAAGUAUGCGGAGUAUAUGUUGAGGAUUUAG
rnacentral:lncRNA from 1 species